GCAAUCGUGACCGAGUGGUUAAGGCGAUGCACUAGAAAUCCAUUGGGGUCUCACCGCGCAAGUUCGAAUCCUGUCGACUGCG
rfam:Ixodes scapularis strain Wikel colony gcontig_1107728597630, whole genome shotgun sequence.